UGUCUUAUAGCAUAAAAAGUGUAUUCAGUUUCGACCUGGAAGGUUAAAAAAUAAGAUAUUUUUGUAGUAU
rnacentral:tRNA from 1 species